UUUUUCUUCCACCGAUUUUGUCCAGCUUAUUUCUCGGAAUCCAAUGGACCAAUGUUGGUUAAACUCUACUAUAAUAAGGACCACCAUGAUAAGUUGUGCAGUGGACUUUGGCAUGUGCAUGAUGGCUACCGUUACCAUGGAAACUAGAAAAAUGUAAAAAAAUCCAGUUUUUUGUUUUCUCGAACUGUUUGGAUAGACUUGAACUUAGAAACAUUAUAUUUUAAUACAAUGUAGGUGCCCACUAUAUACAGGUAUUGGAUGAUUUUGACACUCAUUGGAACUACUAUGUUGCCAUGGAAACAACACCAAAAUUUUCAAAAAUAUCAAAAUGCUCAAAACUUAAUGAAACUUCACAGUAACGAUGAGCAACAUUGGAAGAUGUGGAAUUUGGCGUUGGAAUUUUCAAAAUAUCUGUUGUUACCAUGGAAACAGUGCAAAAAGGUCAAAACUUUGAAUUUUCACAGAACAUUCCAGAACAUCAAUGUUGAAUUUAUUCUAGAGACAUUAAAUCGUAUAUGAUGGUAUAUGAUUAUGGAGGGAAAAAAUUGCAGCGGGGGUUUGACUUUGGAAUAUUCAAAAUGGCCGCCGUUAUCAUGGAAACAGCAAAAAUACGAAAAACUUCAAAUUUUCAAAAUGCUUUAAAUUAAAUGAAACUUAUAACAAAUGUUGCCUAGCUUAUGUAGACUUCACUUUUGAGUUUGGAAUUUUCAAAAUGGCCGCCGUUGCCAUGGAAACAGCGAAAUUUUCUAAAUGGCUGCCGCUGGCCUGGCAAUGGGGGAAGGGUGCCAUCCGCUAUUGCUCGCAAUGGCAAAUCUAGUU
rnacentral:lncRNA from 1 species